AUACGGAGGGGGCUAGCGUUGUUCGGAAUUACUGGGCGUAAAGCGCGCGUAGGCGGACCAGUCAGUCAGGGGUGAAAUCCCGGGGCUCAACCCCGGAACUGCCUUUGAUACUGCUGGUCUUGAGUUCGAGAGAGGUGAGUGGAAUUCCGAGUGUAGAGGUGAAAUGCGUAGAUAUUCGGAGGAACACCAGUGGCGAAGGCGGCUCACUGGCUCGAUACUGACGCUGAGGUGCGAAAGCGUGGGGAGCAAACAGGAUUAGAAACCCUAGUAGUCC
rnacentral:rRNA from 1 species